GUAAAAUACGUAUUGGUUCAAAACGGGACGCGCUAUUUUCUCAAAUACCGGACGAUUCCGUAUUUUAAGGGACGGGUGGCAACCCUUUUAGUUUAGACUUGAUCUACUUCGUGAAAGUGUUGUGACGUAGCUCCAAUAGUAUGUGAAUCUGUUAUGAACUGCUCAAGAUCAGAGUAUUUGUUAUCGUAUUUACUGAGUUGAGGAGGUCAGUGAAGCACUCACGGUUCAUCCUGUCAAUCAUCCUGGCUCCCGCUGUGGUUGGCAGAGAGCGGGAGGUGGGACGGUACGAUGUGAUCGUGAUAGAUGUGUGCGUCACACUUUGUGAGACAUGCGAGUGAUCGUUUAGCAGCAUUAUUGUCAGCAGACUGUCAGCAAAUAAAAGUGUAAAAGCAAGUUGGCGUCUCGUCGCUUUCCGCAUUGAGAGUCGUUACAGUAGAUUGAAAGUAUAUUUUCAUUGCGCAGUUUGUUGAAGCAGUGGAGAAAUCCCUCUUUUCUGCUCCUCUCCAGCUCCUCUCCAGCGCGAUACUUUUUCAGCUAAGUUAAAGCUAUAUUUACAUUUUUAUAUAUAUAUAUAUAUAUAUUUUUUUUUUUUGCUGAUUGCCAAUUUGUCGCUCUGAAGGAUACAGGUAAGCCAGCAUCGUUUGCAGUGAAAGCAGAUGAAUACGUCCAAGCAGAAUUAAACUUUUUGGAUUUUUCCACUGAUGACUGCAGAGGAAUGCAAAUCAUAGUCCGCCACCUGCUGGGAAGUGAAGGAUGAAGAUGAGGAGCUGUGGAGGCCCAUGUCGACCAUCUUUCCUUCAAAGUAUCAAGUGCAGAGCUAAACCACGUUGUCCGUCUCCACCCCUGCUGUCCUCACCAACUGGACCUUUGUAGACAAGAAGGAGACGGUUCGUCUUGGACCGCAGCUUUCCACUUCCUGCUCUAUAAACGCCGUGAGCAGAAGGACACGCUAAAGCUUGUGAACAGGAACUACGCUACUCUGUAUUCAACAUUUGAUGUCCCUGUUGUAAUAAAUACAUCUAAUUCACUAAUGUCUACAUGUCAUGAAUGAGUUAUGAAGCCAUUACACUGAUUUCAACUUUAGCUUCAUCACAUCCUAUCCCAGUGAGUACAUGAUAAUGAUUGCACCGUCUAUGUAUCAAAUGCUGAUUAUAAUGAAACACUGUCUUCAUGUUGAUAAAUAGUUAAAAUGAUUUGUCAUGAUUAUGAUGCAACAAUAACUAUAUUUAGAAGUUUCCUGAUUACAACCAGGUGUGUGUUUUGACUAGAGAGGGCAACCUAUUUUUCACCUUCAACAAUGAAGGAAUUGUCGUAGUGAUCAGUUAAACAAAAAAUAGUAUUUCAUCUUUUGUCUCACUAAAAUAGUGAUAACCAGUAGACAGCAAAGUGGGGUACACAUUUUACUUUUAAACAAUUUAUUUGUAAAUAGCUCUUUAUCAUGCAUGUGUUUCUUUGCCCCAGGGCCCAGGAGAACAAUUCAGUGCAAGGGGCUGAAUAAAGCACAAUGACAUUAGCUUUUCAGCGUCUUGGAUAAGGUGUUUCAGCAUUUUGGACAGUGGCAACCUUGUGGUUCCCGGCGCACCCUCUGUACUCAAUGCGCUACCGUCGCCCCAUAAGUUCGAGAAGGUCAUACUUCAGAUUUGUUGAAUCAUUGUGCCGGCUAUAUUUCCGUUGUUGAGUUGUAGGAAUAUCGUCUUUAGUUUGAUUUAUGAAAACCUUAAACUUAAACAUUAUGUAACAGUAGUCUAUUGAGAUUUUUGUUGUGGUAUGGAAGUCAUGGAAAAAGAAGAAACUAAUGCGUCAUUUAUCAACAAAACAAAUCAAAGGAAUGUUGAUCACCGGGAAGUACAACGCAAAAAGAACCACAGGGAUAGUCUUUGUUACAAAAGACAUCAUUAAGUAGGCAUCCCUGCAUCAUAGAAUACAGGGACAGAAGAUCACUGCGUAUUCAUUAUUUGCGCCGUAGCUUAAGCUGACGUUGAAAGAAACAAGUAAAACUGAAAAGAAACAUAUUUAAAUGAGUUAAAACACAUAAACCAGAGAAACCUUUAGUUUCAGUUAACAUGUGCUGUUGUUACCUCCACUAACAGUGUAGAAAGGAUAUAGAAUAUUUCUUUUUACAAAUCCAUACAAAUCCAUGGCUGUGUCAAAGUGCUGAGGUACAAAUGCAUUUGUAUGUUUUACAACAACGCAGUUUUAACACGAAACAUUUCUCUUGUGCGUGUUUAAUAGUGUCACGGUGUGGUUCUCUUCCUGUCUUAUUUUGUAGUUUUCUGCCACUCGUGUCCCCGGGUAACUUCACUUCCUGCCUUGUCCCGUCAUCCCCUGUGAUCGUCUAAUAGCUUCCACCUGUGUCCAAUCACCUGCACCUCCCUUGUGUAUUUAAGCCGUGUGUCUCUUGUGUCACUUGUCGCGUCAUUGUCGUAGAUGUUGGUAGUUUCCUGCCUGCUGUUUCCCCCCCCCCCUGGUUCCUGUGUGUUUUUGCCGUUUGCUUUUGCCUUGUGACUAUUAAAG
ensembl:lncRNA